rnacentral:rRNA from 1 species
GAUGAACGCUGGCGGCGUGCCUAACACAUGCAAGUCGAACGCUGAAGGCGGAGCUUGCUCUUCUGGACGAGUUGCGAACGGGUGAGUAACGCGUGGGUAACCUGCCUGGUAGCGGGGGAUAACUAUUGGAAACGAUAGCUAAUACCGCAUGACAGCAGCUAUUGCAUGAUAACUGUUUAAAAGGUGCAACUGCUCCACUACCAGAUGGACCUGCGUUGUAUUAGCGAGUUGGUGAGGUAUCGGCUCACCAAGGCGGCGAUCCAUAUCGCCCCGGAGAGGGGGGGCGGCCGCACUGAGACGGUGACAGGGCACAGUGGGCUUCGGGAGGCAGCAGGAGGGAAUCGUGGGCAAUGGGCGGGAGACUGUGCGCGCAGCGCCGAGUGAUGGAGGAGGAAUGUCGGAUCGGGAAGCUCGGUUGUAGGAGAGGAACGAGUGUGAGCGUGUGAAGUUCACUCUGUGACGGUAUCUGACCAGGAAGGGACGGCUAACUACGUG